CAAAAAAGGAGAUCGUUCAUUAGACCGUCAACGCAACAUCGCCACUGCCAGUUCCCAGUUGGGCUGCCGCUCUGAUAUAUAUAUAUAUAUAUAAUGCCCGCAGAGUUUCAAAGUCAGGAAAGGCCGAGACACGAGAAAACAGAGCUCUGAACUUUUGAAAAAUGGCUUCAAUGGCAGCACAAACAAGCGCCUAUUGUGGCUAUUAUUAUAACACUCGCAGCAAACACCAUAUCGGUUCAGCCCGUCCUCGAAUCCUCCUUUCUCAUCAGCAAAACGAUGAAGAUAACAGCAACAAACCCAGUGACCAAAUUGCUCGAAGGGAAAUUAUACUUAGGAGCAGCGAAUUAGCAGUAGAUGGGGCCAUUUUCAAUCUCAGCGGAAAAAAGCCUGAAUAUUUAGGGGUGCAGAAGAACCAACAAGCACUUGCUCUGUGUCCAGCUACCAAGAAUUGUAUAUCAACUUCGGAGAAUAUCAGCGAUCU
rnacentral:misc_RNA from 1 species